CCUACGGGAGGCAGCAGUGAGGAAUAUUGGUCAAUGGGCGCGAGCCUGAACCAGCCAAGUAGCGUGAAGGAUGACUGCCCUACGGGUUGUAAACUUCUUUUAUAAAGGAAUAAAGUGAGGCACGUGUGCCUUUUUGUAUGUACUUUAUGAAUAAGGAUCGGCUAACUCCGUGCCAGCAGCCGCGGUAAUACGGAGGAUCCGAGCGUUAUCCGGAUUUAUUGGGUUUAAAGGGAGCGUAGAUGGGUUGUUAAGUCAGUUGUGAAAGUUUGCGGCUCAACCGUAAAAUUGCAAUUGAUACUGGCAGCCUUGAGUACAGGUGAGGUAGGCAGAAUUCGCGGUGUAGCGGUGAAAUGCUUAGAUAUCUCGAAGAACACCAGUGGCGAAGGCAGCCUACUAAACUGCCACUGACAUUGAGGCUCGAAAGUGUGGGGAUCAAACAGGAUUAGAUACCCCUGUAGUC
rnacentral:rRNA from 1 species